rnacentral:tRNA from 1 species
GCCAAUGUGGCUCAAUGGAUAGAGCAUCGCUUUCCUACCUUGAAUAGAAAGGCGAAGGUUGUGGGUUCGAUCCCCAUCAUUGGUU